rnacentral:rRNA from 1 species
AGAGUUUGAUCCUGGCUCAGGAUGAACGCUGGCGGCGUGUCUUAGGCAUGCAAGUCGAACGGUGCAGCAAUGUAACCGUGGCAAACGGGUGCGUAACACACUGGUCACCUGCCUCGAAGUUCGGUAUAACCCCUCGAAAGAGGGGCUAAUCCCGGAUGUGUUUCCCGACUUAUGGUCGGGAAGGAAAGUCGCAAGACGCUUUGAGAGGGGCCUAUGGUCCAUCAGCUAGUUGGUGAGGUAAUGGCUCACCAAGGCUACGACGGAUAGCGGGCGUGAGAGCGCGACCCGCCUCAGUGGAACUGAGACACUGUCCACACUCCUACGGGAGGCUGCAGUCGAGAAUCUUCCCCAAUGGACGAAAGUCUGAGGGAGCGACGCCGCGUGCAGGAAGAAGGCCUUCGGGUUGUAAACUGCUUUUUUCUGGGAAUAACUCUGAAGGUACCAGAAGAAUAAGGGGCUGCUAACUUCGUGCCAGCAGCAGCGGUAAUACGAAGGCCCCAAGCGUUAUCCGGAUUUAUUGGGCGUAAAGCGUUCAACGGCGGUUGAGAAAGUUGCGAGUGAAAUCUCUGUGCUCAACACAGAACCUGCCCGCAAAACUUCUCGACUUGAGGGUGGAAGAGGCAAGCGGAACUACAGGUGUAGUAGUGAAAUGCGUUCAUAUCUGUAGGAACACCAAUAGCGAAGGCAGCUUGCUGGUACACACCUGACGCUCAAGAACGAAAGCGUGGGGAGCGAAUGGGAUUAGAUACCCCAGUAGUCCACGCCGUAAACGAGGAGUGCUAGAUGUUGGGAGUUUCGACCCUCUCAGUAUCGCAAGGUAACCCCUUAAGCACUCCGCCUGGGAAGUACGGCCGCAAGGCUAAAACUCAAAGGAAUUGACGGGAGCCCGCACAAGCGGUGGAGCAUGUGGUUUAAUUCGACACUAAACGAGAAACCUUACCUGGUCUAGAAAUCUAGCUGCACGCCUCGGGAAACCGAGGAAGCCUUCGAGGGUGCUAGACAGGUGCUGCAUGGCUGUCGUCAGCUCGUGGCGUGAGCUGUUCGGUUAAGUCCGGUAACGAGCGCAACCC